UGGAAGUAAAAAGUCGUAACAAGGUCUCCGUUGGUGAACCAGCGGGAGGGAUCAUUA
rnacentral:rRNA from 1 species